rnacentral:lncRNA from 1 species
CCAUCUCAUUUGGACUUAUUGUCCCCAUCAAGCCACUCUACAACAAUGAACAGAAUUGCAACAGUCUAAGUCCAUCCAUCAUAUUCUUAUAGCAAUUUGAGACCAUUCCACAUGCAGUACACUGAACCUGCACAUGCCAUUCAAAAGUUAGGCAUUUGAUGAAUUGUAACAUAUGCAUACUGAAAGACAGAUCCCAUGAGAAUUUAUAACUGAUUAGAAAUAGAGCAAUCAGAAAGGCAGGGUCACUGAUUAUAAAUUGAAAUAUUAAAUCAAAUGUGAAAACAAAGGGGACUGAGAUUGCAGACGACCACCAAAUGUGUGAUGAAUAACAGUUGUCUCCUGGGUGCUAUGAUCUACAACCUUCUAACCUCCAAAUCAUGUCGGACGCCAUAGUGGGCGAGCAAAUGGUCGCCGCCAUAGCAGACAACCAACGAAGAAGAGCCACUGCUUGGCAACCAGGAUGAGCUCACAUGUCGUUAUCGUGUCACAGUCUGAACAUGAACGCCGCUGCAAAUCUCAGGAAUCCUGAGAAAGAAAUGCAAAAUUUUAGAGCACUGAUCCAUCAACAUGCCACGCCAGAAUCAAACCUACAACGCUGCUCUACAUCACAAACAGAGCAACACGAUCGUGCAACAUAAGAAGGAAUAGGUGAUGAUUGACGAGCACGAUCCCACCACAAGAUAACUAAUAAAACAGCACCGAAGCAGCGCAUGCAUACAUGGAGAGGAUGAACCGCAUCUCAAUGGCAGAGCGAAGCUCAACUUGGAUGAAACUAUAAGGAACACCCGUUGCCUGAAACGGGAAUGAGAACAAACAGC